rnacentral:rRNA from 1 species
GACGAACGCUGGCGGCGUGCUUAACACAUGCAAGUCGAACGGAAAGGCCCUGCUUUUGUGGGGUGCUCGAGUGGCGAACGGGUGAGUAACACGUGAGUAACCUGCCCUUGACUUUGGGAUAACUUCAGGAAACUGGGGCUAAUACCGGAUAGGAGCUCCUGCUGCAUGGUGGGGGUUGGAAAGUUUCGGCGGUUGGGGAUGGACUCGCGGCUUAUCAGCUUGUUGGUGGGGUAGUGGCUUACCAAGGCUUUGACGGGUAGCCGGCCUGAGAGGGUGACCGGCCACAAUGGGACUGAGAUACGGCCCAGACUCCUACGGGAGGCAGCAGUGGGGAGUAUUACACAAUGGGCGGAAGCCUGAUGCGGCAACGCCGCGUGCGGGAUGACGGCCUUCGGGUUGUAAACCGCUUUCGCCUGUGACGAAGCGUGAGUGACGGUAAUGGGUAAAGAAGCACCGGCUAACUACGUG